UACAGAGGUGGCAAGCGUUGUUCGGAAUUACCGGGCGUAAAGGGCGCGUAGGCGGCCUUGUAAGUCCUGUGUGAAAUCCCCCGGCUCAACUGGGGAACUGCACAGGAGACUGCUUGGCUUGAGUUCGGGAGAGGGAAGCGGAAUUCCGGGUGUAGCGGUGAAAUGCGUAGAUAUCCGGAGGAACACCGGUGGCGAAGGCGGCUUCCUGGACCGACACUGACGCUGAGGCGCGAAAGCCAGGGGAGCAAACGGG
rnacentral:rRNA from 1 species